rnacentral:lncRNA from 1 species
CUGCUAAAUCCCCGUUUGGAUUUGCGGAGUGUACAAACAUGGACGAGUAACGCUAAGUAUAGCUGGGAGGAGGAAAGACAAAGUGUGAGGAAACAGGCUGGUUCAACUUCAUCCGAACACCCUAAGUGGGUCACAGAGAUGUCCCCACUUUCUUUCCAAAUAAAAGUAAUGAAAACUUUUUAGUGUACCCACAAUCCAUUACUACAACCCUCUCGAAUUCUCCUUUUUGUGUUUUCAUGAUGGUCACCAAAACUGAACCCCAACAUCCUUCCCACUGUUCAUAAGGCGACUACUUAAAGUCAUGGUUGACGUUUGGAGAGAUUGGUAGUUAUUAUGAACCUCGUUUCUAUGGCGAUCAUGGUCCUAUUGUGCGAUCUCCGCAAAGUGAAGAGAAAAAAGAACGGAAAAAAUCUGUUCACCCUAUCAGGUGCAGGGCUGCAAAAACACUGACCAAUGGGAGCCAUUCAUCCCAGAUAGCUCCUAUUGGUCAAUCUCCUGCUCCGCCUAUCCAUCCAAUCACCUCGCUGUAUUCGACACACCCCCCUCCGCAGUUCCGACUCCCCCCCCAUUUCCUGGCCCUUCUCGGAGAUCUGGGCGGCUAAAAGUAGCGACAGAAGAAAGGGCGGAGUCAAAGAGGAAACGUGAACAAGCGAGGAAUCUAACUGGAAUAAACAUCGGGUCAUCCUUUGAGCGGUCGCCGGCAGCCAGCGAUCACCUAGUUGCGUCAGGUCGCGGCUGUACAUAGACUUUGCAUUGGAAGUCGUUGCUCAAGACGCCGAGGUUGCGUUUGGUCUGAACGCGGCUUUAGUCAUGAAAAUCAAAAACAGUACGAUGGCGGGAAUGACGAUUUCACCCAUUCAUGACCUGCACUUUUCACGUGUUGACGUCAGAUGCCCGCCGGCCAAAUGACCAAUCAAUGUAAACUACAGAGACACGCAAAACACGUAGUUGAUGAUGAUAUCUUGUAGGUUCGUCAUGUAAAGUCUGUUUGUCCGUUUGCAAUAAUGACAGUGUGAGACCUAAACAGACCGAACAAACAAAAACACGGACCUCCAGACUUUCAGGUGUGAAAACACCUUUAGAUUCAGCCCUAAAAAUUUGCAUCAUAAUACAGACCCUGAGGUUUUCUUGACUUUUGGAGAGAGCCUCAUGUGGACAUCCAGGGAACUACAGUUUUGUGACUUGCCUUUAACACCUUUUCACUUCUAUAAAACUCCAAAAGAGCGCUCAGACAACAGAGAAUUUGCACCAUAUGACGCAUUUGUCAGAUUAAACAUUAAUUAUUAAAAAUACGGAUGAUUAAUGUCUGAUAUGUGAAUUAUUGAGAUAUAAACUUUGGCUGAAUUUUCCCCAAGGAAGUUUUUUCACAUCUCUGCUAAAAAAUCAGCAGGAAGAUAAAACCAGGAGUCUGUUAGGUGACGUGAUAAAACUCCUCAAAGUUUAUCGUGAAAAAGUUUUUGUACUAUUUUCCUUAUUUGACUGUUUUUGACAGUGAACGACAUGAAAUUCCAGUUUGUCCCCACACUCAGCCCUAACUCGAGAUCUGCAGUAGAAUAAUCAUCUCCCUCCGUGUCCUCUCUACCUUCACUGCCUCAGGUGGUGUGUUUAGAUCCUCUGGAUUAAUGAAGCGAAUACCGCUGGACUCGGCUCUUUUCCUCUUAUUUUUCCUCCGUCUUCAUUUAUUUUUCCACUCGCUCCUCCCCCUCCUGUCCUUCAUCCUCUCUUCCUCCUGAGCUGAUCCUUUGUAUUUUAUUUUAUCUUUUUUAUUUAUUCUCUCCCCUCGGGUCACUUGUGUUCUGCAGCUUUUCCAGCCUUCACUUUCUGUUUGGUGAACCUCCACAUCUUCGUCCCUCUCGCUGCCUGAGGCUCUGCAGCUGGGAAUGAAUAAGCACGGUGACCUUUGACCUACACUCACUAAUCAAACAUCCACCACGACAUAAAAAAUCACAUCUUCUGGAACUUACAAUAUACAUAAUUUAUAAGAGCGAAUUUAAAUGAAGGCAGCAGGACAUUUUUAAUGUCAAUGUAAUGAAAAAAAAACAGGCUUUCUGCCUAUAAAUACAGAUAUAUGCUGAACAUGAAGUCAUUCUCCAGCCAAACAACCAGCAGACAGUCAGAGAAAAAAUGUCCCCCACACUGUUUCUAUAGUCCACCCAAUGAGAAAACAAAGUAGGGCUGCAGUCAUCAAAUAUUUUAGUACAGUGACCAUACGUCCUCUUUUACCCGGACAUGUCCUCUUUUUUGGAUGCCAUACGGGUUUGUCAGGUGAAUUUUAUAAAACCCCUCAAAUGUCCGCGAUUUUGUACAUAAGUUUCAAUUUUGUGUCGCGUGGACUUCCUGAGUUAGAGGCCCAUAAAAGACACUCGAUCCCACCUGGAAAAAUGUCAAAAUUAAAGGUGGGGUAAUCAGGAUCUGAGAAAGUUCCAGUUUUUAGGAGAAAUCUUGAAUGUAAACUCCACCCCUCCCAACCAGUUUUCCCCUCAGCUCCUCCUCUCCCCUCCCUCUCUGCUCCAUCAAGCCCCGCCCACAAACAGACGUUCCUGCUCGCUCGUAUCGUUCCAAUUAAAUUCAGGUAUAAUGCAGAUAAAUACUUCAGAUAAUUACAAUGGGGGCCAGUCAAGGUGAAAGUAAAAAGCAUUGGUGCUACUGUAGAUGCCAACAGACUACCAGAUAUCAUUAUAUCUCCAAAUAUCAUAAAUAACUAAUAACUAUUGACUGAUAUUAAAAGCUUUAUUGUAUUUACACUACAAAAAAAGAUGCUUCUUUCUCGGAUUCCUGCCUACCCCACCUUUAACUUCGUGUGACUCCACCUCCGCAUAGUCGUGUCCUCUUUUUGGGGAUUCAGAAUGGUCACCCUAUUUUAGAAAUCAGGUAAUCUAUCAUUUAUUCUGGAGAUUCAAUUCUGGUCGAGACUAGACUCUAUUUACAAAGACGGGAUCAGAUCCUCUCCAAUCCCCUAAUCUUCAACCACAUGAGGGAAACACUUUACAGCAUUUGGAGGAGAGGAAGAACUUCCUUCAACAGGCAGAAACCUGAAGGACGACCAGACUGGUGUAAGACAGAUCAAGGUCUCUUUUGUUCAGGUCAUCUGUGAAGGCUUCAUUAAUGCUGAACAACAUCUCCAUGUGGCUCUGAAUGAAAAAAACUGAACCACAUUUUUCCUCCCUGAAGAGUCAGAUAGUCGGUGUAUCUCUCAGUCUGAAUUUACUGAUUAGCCUUCAGCUCUCCUGUUAAAUAUCAGGAUUCAGCCGCUCACGUCCGUCUGAAUUAAGGUCACUUUUUAAUUCAUUCUGUUGCUUUUGGCCAAAUUCUGCGGUAAAAAGAUAAGUUCCCCCUGUUUUAUUUCUUUAUUUCUCAAAACUUUAAUUCUGUCUUUUCUUAUCUCAUUUUUCCUUCUUUUUUAAUUUCAUGUACAGAGCUCCACUCUUCCGUGUUCGUCCACGGCUGUGUCCGGGUUCAGGAGGGGCUCUGAAUACUGUAACUGCAGCAGGUUGGAGUUUGUAUGUUAACAGAUAAAGUACAUAAUCUGAAUGUGUGUGUUUGGUGUGUGUGUGUGUGAGUGUGUGUGUGUGUGUUUGGCAGGUAGUGGGUAGUUAUCAGCUCAGUCCAGCUGCUUCAUGCUCACUAAGCUCUUUACCAGCCAACAAACACACACACAUUCAUCCCUCCACUCUCUCACACAUACACCUCCACCUCCUUCUCUCCCUCCAUCACCGGUUUGACAUCCAAAUUUACAGAAACGCUCACAGGUAGAAAAGUUGCUGUUGUUCGACUCUGAUCUGAACCUGCGGGCAAAAAAGAAGAAGACGGUCGAUAAUGAAAAGACGCGGUGGAGUAACAGUCGUGGUUUACAGCAGCAGGGAUCAGAAAAAUUCAGGCAUUCGUGAUCUUAAACUCCUGAAAAGUCCAGAUGUUGCUAAAUCAACCAGGUACAUCAAAAACAAAUGAACACUGUUGAAACCGUUUUAAUAUUUCCAAUAGUGUUGUGUCGUUCACGAAUGAUUCAAGAUCUGAAAAGCUAAUGGGAUCGUCUUCUACUCCAGAUUUAGGGUUUUGAUUGUCAAUAAAAUGUCCAAAUGUAAAGUAAGAGUGAGAAAACAGCCCUGAGGUGAGUCUGCAGAGACAUGCUGUUAACUUUAACUCCUCGGUGAAAAGUUCAGGGUCCGACUGAGGCCGGGGAGUCUUGGUCCACCUGAAGCUGGCGGUCACUUUGGCUGAAUGGUUUCUAAACCAAUCAAAGAGUUCACACUUCUAUUGAAGCUCUACGUAAAGGUGUGUGUGCGGUCCAAACACACUCCAACGAGUAACGAUCGUGAAUUCAAGAACUACAAAAACCACGAGUCUGAAGUCCGGGUGAUUUUUCCAGGAGGAGCGAAUUGUCCGUGUGAAGAGUGUGAGGAAGAACGUCGACAACCUCAGACUCAGUCAUGUGAAUAAAAGGUUUAUUUUUAUUUACUGAGUGUGUGUGUGUGUGUGCAUGUGUGUGUGUGUGUGUGUGUGUGCUGGCAAUCCACAGAGGAACCUUCGACUUUCUAACACACUGUAUUCCCCGUCUCUGUCUCUCUCUCUCUCUCUCUCUCUAUUCUCCAGUGUGUGUUGCGGUGUGUUUAUGUUCCCAGAGCAGAUUUUCUUUCCGCAUCAUUCAACUCCCCUACAACCAUCAACACACACACACACACACACACACACACACACACACACACACACACACAAGUAGGAAUCUGGGAAGAACCUGGUAACUCUGGUUUUGCUCUUAAACUCACAUAUGAGCAGACGUGGAACAUUUAGGUCAGAAUAAUUAACUCCACCUCCUCGUUACUGAUUCAUUUUCCAUUAAUCAGUGGAUCAGGUAUAGUCCGGAUAGAUCCUUGACCAACCUGGACCCGUUUGACCACUAAUGGCUAUUUUUCUGGCGCAGGAAUCAAGUGAACCGUCACUCUCUUUGGACUGCACCACCGGACUUUAAAGCCUCAUCAAACCAAAGCUAGAAGACAGAACGGGCCGGACUUGUGUGGUUUAAAAACAGGGACUGAAGUCUGAACAGGUGAACACAUCGAACAGGGAGCGGGGAGGGUCAAAAGUUCAAGAAAAGAGGUCAAGAUAUGGUCCAGGAAGUAAGGGUUCACAUGUUUUUACCUCACAUUGUUCCCGGUUCAGCCCCCGUCCAGCAGCUGUUCAUCAUCCUCCCGAGCGGUCAUCUCGCCCAAGGCUUCAAACCUGCAGGAGAGCGAAGUGAAUCUGCAACUUAAAAGCCAAACAGCUCAAUCUUUUGUCAGAAAUAUUUACCUGUUUUUACGUAUUUUAAUUUGAGUCGGUUAAAAGUCUUCAGGUUGUGCUCUGAAAUGGACAUCAGCGGCUCGGUUCACCCUAAAGACAGAAACGUAAACCAAAGACGUAGAGGAGAUUGAAAUAUGUUAAUGCCGCCUGAUUAAUCGACGGGAUUAAACUCAUAUCAAAGACGUGAGAUGGCUCUCACACAGAUCCAGUAAAUGACGGACUGCUUCUUUAACUUCCUCCUAGAUUAAAGAUUUUCUCUCUUUUUUUCUUAUCUCUGUUCUGCCUGAAAUCCAGUUCCAACAAAUCUGAAGAAUUAAGAUUACAAAUCAUCCAGCUGGACCUAACCUUGGUAACUAGCAGCCCGAGGCCGCAGAGAUUUACUGAGUCGAACUGUCAGAUAAAAAAAAACAUUCAGCCGUCUCUUUUUUUCUUCCUGGACCCUCCUUCUGAAAUCAUCUCUUCAUUUGCGGGAUAUCGAGGGAUACAGUGACAGAUUCUGACUCCUGACCUCCUUUCAGGCAGAUCAUCACACUGCCGAUCUGGGAAAUAAGGGCGUCUCUGCUUCCACGCCGCUUUGGAUUGACUCCGCUGUGAGAGUCCCUCAGAAGGUGGUCUGUGUUUUUAAUCCCAAAUCAUCUGAGUCAGCUGAGGUUCAGGAUUAUAAAUAUUUGUGCUUCACAUUCUGCAGGGAUUACAACAGCAUAGCUCUGUAGGAGAAGAGUCCUGCUGAGAAACCAGACUGAUGCGGUCCAGAACGGCUGCAAUCUUUCGUCUUCCGCCAAUUCCAACCGGAUCCAUUUGUGAGGCAAAUUUCAUGGCGGAUUGCGGACAGCAGAAUCCCGAGAACUCACAAGAACCCGCAGAUUCACGUGCAAUCAUGCGAUAACAAGUUGUCUUAAGCCACAUAAUCUACCCAUAUAAUCAGUAGAAUGUGAAACUAUCUGUAACUGCAGUGCACUACAGGAAGUGUUGGGGGCAGUAUCGCUCGCUGGAAACCGAGAAGAAGAAUGUACAAAUUAUGGCCGAACAAACAAACAAAGAGGCUUAAAAACUCUGACCCAAAGUUUCCGAAGUUUGGAAACAUUUCACUGAAAAUAAACCAGCGACACACAUUAAUUGCAGUCUCAAUGAAGCUCAACUCUCAUCCUAUGGCAGCACAUCCGCCAAUUCCUACUGGAUCCGUUUGUGAGGCAAAUUUCUUGGUGGAUUACGGAAUCGCAAGAACUCACAAGAAUCCGCGAUAACAAGUUGUCUUUAGCCACACAGGCUAACCAUAUAAGCAGUAGAUUGUGUCCUUCCAGAGGAGGAAAUCUACUUCUCGACUUCUAGAAUCAGCAUCUCCACAUCCAUGGUGUCAUCAGGGUGAAAUGGGGUCUAAAAACCUUUCACUUGUCUGGAAAAAAAAGAACUCUUUGACACGUUAACUUGAAUGGUUACGAUCAGCUACGAUCGGCGGAUACGGCCUUUUCGGAUGCGAUGGAAAUUGGGGGUAACAGGAUUGGGAUUUUAAACCAAACCAUGGUGGCCUCAUACCUCCACCUUUCUUUUGUUUUGUGGACUGUUGUCAGAAGCUUUCAUUGGAUAUCUGGGACUACGGGGUCUCCUGGGUUUGCUUUUCAGGUUGAAAUUAGGGAUCAUUAGACUCACGUCCCUGAUUGACAUCGUUUCAUGGACAUAUUCAGGUCUCUCAGAAGAUAUGGUGGUCUCCUUCUGGUGCUAUCUUCUGGACGGUUGGUACGAGGGAUUCAUGGUUUGAGAGAAACGAUCAUCACCAAGAAAAAGAAACCAUGAAAACGAUCUUUAACAGUUUCUGCUUUUUCUAACUUCUCCUUGUGACUCAGUGUUGUUAAAAUCUCUUUAACGGAGAGAAGCUCAUCUUUCUCGGCUGAAAACAAAUCCUCUCUAAUCUUACAUCACCGAAAAACAGACGUCUCUUUGCAGUUUCUCGUGUCCUGCGUUGUCUUGGCGAGGAUUCCUCGGCUUAUCCACGCUUCUUCUCCUCCUCCUCCUGGUCCAGACUUACAUAGGAUGAGGAGGAAAUGAUGAAUGAAAGCUUUGAUAGCCGUUUGGAAGCAGAUUCAGGAGGGUGGUCUUGUGUUGAUUGGCUGAAAUAAAGCAAUAAAGCAAUAAAGCACAUGUUGCCUUUUAUUCACAUCUGCAAAUAAUUCCCUGGAUUAGAGUCGGAAAAUUUGAGCCGAACGCGGAAAUGGUGGGUAAAACUCGUGAAUCCUGUGAGCUGUGAAUAAAGUUUUUUCUUUAUUGAAACAUUUGGACGAGGCGCGGUGACAGACACCGGUCCCUGAGGAUUAUGUCACAGCUCUGCAGAGUCCUGGGAGUCUCUGAGCAGAUUAGGAAUCAGGCUGAAAAUAAGCAGGAGAGCAGCUGGAGGGGUGACGAGAGUGAGAGUGAGCGAGUGAGUGUGCACAUGUCGGUGCAGAUGAGGCACCGAGGGAGUGAGUGAGUCCGCACUCAGGGGGUCAAGUUCUCUGUCCGUCAGUUUGUCAAUCAAUCAAAUAUCAUCAUCAAACCAGACGUCAUACAGGUGAGGAGAAGACGUCUCAACCAGGUCGAGGAAAAUGCUGGAAAUUCCUCACAGUAGCUUUAAAACACAUAAGGGACCGUCUCACUCCUGUUUGUGUGUUGGCUUCUUUUUAACAUCUCCCUCCUGUGUUUUUAAAGCUAAAGAAACCAUCUCAAUUAAAGGGGAGAGAGAGACAAAAACACAUAUUUAUCAUAAUUCCAAGAAAAUAAUACCAAAUGUGACGGACAGAAGUAGGAAUAAAAAACUAACAUACCUCGCUAAUGAUUUACGCCCCAUUAGCCUUGUGCUAACGUGUUUUGUCAAUUGUUUAGGGAGACAGCUAGAACUGUAGUUUGACUUAAAGGUGGGGUAGUCAGGAUCUGAGGAAGUUCCAGUUUUUAGGAGAAAUCUUGAAUAUAACCUCUACCCCUCCCAACCAGUUUUCCCCUCAGCUCCUCCUCUCCCCUCCCUCUCUGCUCCAUCAAGCCCCGCCCACAAACAGGCGCUCCUGCUCGCUCGUAUCGUUCCAAUUAAAUUCAGGUAUAAUGCAGAUAAAUACUUCAGAUAAUUACAAAUGGGGCCCAGUCAAGGUGAAAGUAAAAAGCAUUGGUGCUACUGUAGAUGCCAACAGACUACCAGCAAACACAAUGUUUGCAGGACUUCUACAACUAGGAUAAAGUGACAUAGUCCAGGACCCGAGGUCAACAGUUUAGCGGCGCUACAACACGCUACAGCAGGUCCGUUUGACAAGAAACACUUCUGUUACAGACACUUGGCUUACUUUGUUAAAGCGGUUUACCUGUCCAGCAGAAAGGUUACAGGGUCACCAAGAUCCCCAAGCGUCCCCCAUCGUUUAUGUUGACCCGGCUUUUUAGCUCUUGUCCAGUCUACCUCCUUUUUAAGCGCCUGUUAUUCCUCCAGAGUCUCCGGUAUUUACUUUGUUUUCUUGCUUGUGUCGGCAGUCAUGGCCAAAGGAGGAUUCAGACAAUUUUCCGAACUUUCUGGUUGGUUUCUACUGUCCGAUAUUGUAGCACGCUAACUUUGUUUGGGCUCGUGAACG